GAGCAAUUUAACUAAAUAAAUUUAUUUUUAUUUAUUCCUUCUAUGGCAGCUUGUUUUAACAUUUCCCUGUAUGUUUACUCUUGCCGGUGCUUGUGUCAGUUUUCUUUUUAAAUAUUCUUUAUCAUAUUCUUUAUCUAUUUCUAUUCCCACGUGGUUUGUGGCGAUAGACUUAAAUAAGCACUGUAUUUGGGUAGUUACUAAAAGCUAUUUUUUCCUGACGAUCCUUCCCAGCUACACCGUGCAAGAAAAGUCCCAUCAAACAACGCGUCUAAAGCCUCAUGCAUCCUGUUGUUGGCAUCCUGGCGGCUGAUAUCCGCAUCUAUUAUUAAAGUAUAACUGCAAAAUGCAAAAUCGUCUCCAGCUAUUUUUGCUUCAAAUGCAUCAAACUUUUGUUCAUUUUCGAUUUUUUCUAUUGCUAAACUCUGCGCAUUUCUUCUUAUACCCUUCAUAGGAUUCAGUAUUGUGGACUGCUAAUUUAAAAUCACCAUAAUCUGUGCGCUGCGUGCAUCUAUUUUCAUUAACAGCAUCCGACAACGAAGGCAGCAGCUUCCAGAAUGCUCUGUAGAAGUAAUUGAAAGGACUGCUUGAUUUGCUCCUGCUGCAGCCUGGUGUUCAUAGUCGGUGAUCAUCAUUAUUGGUGAUGAAGGCAGCACAGGCAAAUUUAUCACAACAGGACCAGUUGCUCGUUCAGUCGUUAUGUACGAUGUACCGGCGCUUGUCGAUGGCACUUGGUUACCACCAUCAACUAUCUUGCCUGGCGGACGGAUCUGGCUAGGAACACAGAUCCUCUAGCAGCCGCUAUCACCGAUGCAGAAGACGACUGGUGAGUAAAUGUUGUCUUACAACAGCGGACAUCAUACCACGCUUAUUCUUCGGAGCAUGAACUUCGACAAGCGAUGCAAUCGAUGGUACUGCAGAUCCCGCCAAUGCCUGUUGUCUACCGUUCUUCAUGUCUGAUUCCUGCGGUAGAGCAUCAGCAACCGGUACCACUGAUGGCGCAGCAGUACUAGUUGACGGUUGCUGUCCAUGUUGCUGGCCUAACGGACAGAAUGGUGUAGGAACACCAGGUAAUGUUGACCGAUGAUGAUUACCAUCACCGGCAUUCGAGACCAGCGCUGACACUUCAUCCGUUACCUUCAGCUGUUCAACAACACGGACUGGCAUUCUUUGUUGACUCGUGCUGACCGGCCACUGAAACCACCUAAGGCACUGCACUUGUUGUCGGAAGUUGUCCAAUAACACGCACCGGCAAUCCGGGAGGACGGAUGGUUCGAGGAAUGGCAACCGAAACCAUCGAUGGCACUGCACUUGUUGUCGGAAGUUGUCCAACUACACGGACCGGCAAUCUGGGAGGACGGAUAGCACGAGGAAUGGCAACCGGAACCACCGAUGGCACUGCACUUGUCGUCGGAAGUUGUCCAACAACACGGACUGGUACAUCUGACUGACGAAGCUACUUAUCACAUACCCGCAUUUUAUGUCCCCAUUCUUGGUGUUUCCGGGUUACUCGCCAUCGCGCUGUAGUCGGAUCAUACUGCACCUGUCCUGCUUCGAUUAAUGCCUCCGCAAAGACAAAAUUAGAGCACGCGUUCCUAUUCCUCAUCCUCCGGCACCGUCUGGAGAAUGUGGGAGUCACUGCUCUAUAAAAACCACCGAACUACCACAAACUGGAAACAGCGGAAAACCCCGUGGGUCACCGGCCACAGUGCUAAAUUGAAGCAAAGUUGAAGUAAGUCUGACAGUAUCUAAAGUAAUAGAAAGACAGUUUGAUAAACUGGUUAACAAUGUUUAUUUUUCAUUUCAGCUAAUAUGCCGUGCGAAAAAGCAAAAUAAAUAUUUCAUUUUAAUGUUGAUUAAGCUACACCGACAUUAUAUUUUUCAUCUAAAACGUUUUUGAUGUGUUUUUUCUCAUCACGUUUAGGCGUCGUGUAUCAGAUCGCAACUGCUAAUAAUUUUGUCGUCUGAGGCGGACUGUUAUGGAGGUACAAAAUCUUCAGUGAUGCGUUCACGCAUCUACGAGCCGAUAAUUGGCGGUAUCCAGAUCAUCAUCGUACUGUUAGCUUACCUAAGCUACCGAAAUUAGCGACAGUGUAAAAUCUGUGCUGUGAGAAUUAUAGUUGGCUCUCACAACCGUCCGGAAGUCGCAGUGAUUUGGUAACAUCAAGAUUGUAGCAACCUUGAUCCCAUAAUAAUUGGGAAUUAUUAUAGCUAGA